AGGCUGCUGUAUAUGGUAGAGAUCCAAAUUGGGGACGCAUUGCAUGUGCUGCAGGAUAUGCUGGGAUUUCUUUUGACCAAAAUAAGCUGCGGAUAUUGCUUGGGGAUAUUUUACUCAUGGAGGGUGGGCAACCGCUUCCAUUUGACAGGGCUGCGGCUAGCAACUAUCUCAAGAAGGCUGGCGAGACCCAUGGUACAGUAACAAUCCAAAUAUCUGUCGGUGAUGGACCUGGAAACGGACAAGCGUGGGGCUGUGACCUAAGUUAUGAUUAUGUCAAAAUAAAUGCAGAAUACACGACAUAGAAGACCUUUUUUUU